rnacentral:rRNA from 1 species
GAUGAACGCUGGCUACAGGCUUAACACAUGCAAGUCGAGGGGAAACGACGGGGAAGCUUGCUUCCCCGGGCGUCGACCGGCGCACGGGUGAGUAACGCGUAUCCAACCUGCCUCUGACUGAGGGAUAACCCGUCGAAAGUCGGCCUAAUACCUCAUGGCAUCGUCUGCGGGCAUCCAACGACGAUUAAAGAUUUCAUCGGUCAGGGAUGGGAUGCGUCUGAUUAGCUUGUUGGCGGGGUAACGGCCCACCAAGGCUACGAUCAGUAGGGGUUCUGAGAGGAAGGUCCCCCACAUUGGAACUGAGACACGGUCCAAACUCCUACGGGAGGCAGCAGUGAGGAAUAUUGGUCAAUGGGCGGGAGCCUGAACCAGCCAAGUAGCGUGCAGGAUGACGGCCCUAUGGGUUGUAAACUGCUUUUAUGCGGGGAUAAAGUGAGGGACGUGUCCUUCAUUGCAGGUACCGCAUGAAUAAGGACCGGCUAAUUCCGUG